CUGUACCAAAAAGAACCCUGUAAUCUCCACUCUAUGUAGCUCAAUCCUUGGCUCUUUGGUUCUUACUCUGCCCUUAACUCUUUUUAAAUUGUUAUAUACUUUUCUAUGAAAGAACAGCACUUAACAAUGACCUUCGAUCUUUAAUUCUGAUACAUUCCAAGUAUAUUUUCUACUAACCUCUUUCCCUAACCCAAGCACAAUUCUAGACCAUUGUUUUCCAACCAUGCUUAUUAUGGUUAUUCUGCUCUCCUGGGAAUAUGCAGCAAUAUCUAUAGCCUUUCUUUCUCUUUUCUUUCUUUCUUUUUUUUUCAUUUGGUCAAUAGUAUGAAGAGUACAGGUGACUUACCACUGCCAUCUAGUAGAAAGAGAAAAUGAUAAACAUCCUACAUUACACAGGAGACAAAUUAUCUGGCUGGAUAAUACAUCCAUAUUGCAGCUGGCUAGAAACCCAACAUUCCUGAUUUUCAAAUGGUGUCUCAACAAUUUUUCCAUUACCAUGUCUACCAAAAGCAGUAGAGAGGAUUCCAGUUUCUGCAGCCCCCAACAAAGAACACUGCAGAAGUUUUCCUCAACCCUAGUCUCAGUUAUCUCAUGGUAUACAUAAAAAUCAUGGUGUACAUAUAUGACAUUUGGCUGGUGAUGUGAACAAACAGCUAACCUCUCAAAAAAAGGACUGCACAGGACUGAGAGCCCUAGAGACUAAUACCCUUUAAAUGAAUUGGUGAUGUUUUAGGGAAUACAAUUAUAAACAAUAUGUAUAUAC